UUACCUUACAAAAGUACAUAGACUAAAAUUGGAACGAUACAGAUAUUAGCAUGGCCCAUGCGCGAGGAUGGCAUGCAAAAUCGUGAAGCGUUCCACAUUUUA